UUUAAUAGUCGAACAGACUAGCCUACCUAGCUGCUACACUAGGAAGCACCUUUAAUUCAACAUCGAGGUCACAAGAUCUCUUAUCAAUUUGGCCUCUCUAAAAGCAUUGUGCUGUUAUCCCUGAGGUAACUACUCUUUAACUUGAUUAAGACCCCAAAACCUUACAAACAUCAGCCUAUAAACUAGAUCUGUUAGUUUACCGCCCCAGUAUAACGCAACAGCAGCAAAGAAUCCUAUUAGUUUAGUCUAAGCCGCAUCUAAGUUAGCUCUGCAGGGUCUUAUCUUCCCAUUGUCUUGGCUUGAAGUUUUAAUCAAACCCUUAAGUUAUAGACCCACAGGCUUACAAGUCGUCUUUCAUGAGCCCCUUCAUUCUAGACCCCAAUUAAGAGCCAAGUUAUUAUGCUACCUUUGCACAGUUAGGG
rnacentral:rRNA from 1 species